rnacentral:rRNA from 1 species
CAGAUUCCUACGGGAGGCAGCAGUAGGGAAUCUUCCGCAAUGGACGAAAGUCUGACGGAGCAACGCCGCCUGAGUGAUGAAGGUUUUCGGAUCGUAAAGCUCUGUUGUUAGGGAAGAACAAGUGCCGUUCAAAUAGGGCGGCACCUUGACGGUACCUAACCAGAAAGCCACGGCUAACUACGUGCCAGCAGCCGCGGUAAUACGUAGGUGGCAAGCGUUGUCCGGAAUUAUUGGGCGUAAAGGGCUCGCAGGCGGUUUCUUAAGUCUGAUGUGAAAGCCCCCGGCUCAACCGGGGAGGGUCAUUGGAAACUGGGGAACUUGAGUGCAGAAGAGGAGAGUGGAAUUCCACGUGUAGCGGUGAAAUGCGUAGAGAUGUGGAGGAACACCAGUGGCGAAGGCGACUCUCUGGUCUGUAACUGACGCUGAGGAGCGAAAGCGUGGGGAGCGAACAGGAUUAGAUACCCUGGUAGUCCACGCCGUAAACGAUGAGUGCUAAGUGUUAGGGGGUUUCCGCCCCUUAGUGCUGCAGCUAACGCAUUAAGCACUCCGCCUGGGGAGUACGGUCGCAAGACUGAAACUCAAAGGAAUUGACGGGGGCCCGCACAAGCGGUGGAGCAUGUGGUUUAAUUCGAAGCAACGCGAAGAACCUUACCAGGUCUUGACAUCCUCUGACAAUCCUAGAGAUAGGACGUCCCCUUCGGGGGCAGAGUGACAGGUGGUGCAUGGUUGUCGUCAGCUCGUGUCGUGAGAUGUUGGGUUAAGUCCCGCAACGAGCGCAACCCUUGAUCUUAGUUGCCAGCAUUCAGUUGGGCACUCUAAGGUGACUGCCGGUGACAAACCGGAGGAAGGUGGGGAUGACGUCAAAUCAUCAUGCCCCUUAUGACCUGGGCUACACACGUGCUACAAUGGACAGAACAAAGGGCAGCGAAACCGCGAGGUUAAGCCAAUCCCACAAAUCUGUUCUCAGUUCGGAUCGCAGUCUGCAACUCGACUGCGUGAAGCUGGAAUCGCUAGUAAUCGCGGAUCAGCAUGCCGCGGUGAAUACGUUCC